rnacentral:rRNA from 1 species
UUUUUCAGCGACAAUAGCACAAUGGUACCACCUGAUCCCAUGCCGAACUCAGUAGUGAAACGUUGUAGCGCCGAUGGUAGUGUGGGGCCUCCCCAUGUGAGAGUAGGACAUUGCUGAAUCC